GGCCACAGCCAUAUCACCCUGUAGCCCAAGACUGGUUGCCCACUGAAGCUAAGCAGGGUUGAGCCUGGUCAGUACCUGGAUGGGAGACCUCCUGGGAAAACUAGGUUGCUGUUGGAA
rnacentral:rRNA from 1 species